UGGUGGCACAGUCCCAUCCCAGGGGGGCUCAGGGUGGUGGCACAGUCCCAUCCCAGGGGGGCUCAGGGUGGUGGCACAGUCCCAUCCCAGGGGGGCUCAGGGUGGUGGCACAGUCCCAUCCCAGGGGGGCUCAGGGUGGUGGCACAGUCCCAUCCCAGGGGGGCUCAGCCCUCCUGCAGUGCCAGCUGUGGCUCUGCUGGAGCAGGGAUCCUGCACAAGGGGGGAGUUUUCCUCUGCAGCUCCAGGGCUGCUGGAGAUGGGCCUGCUCUCCCUCUGGGAAUGCAGGGCAGCAGAAAGCUGCUCCUCUGGGAAUGCAGGGGGCAAAGGCUGCUGGGCUGUUCCCAGGGCAGGUUGGAUCCAGGUAGGAAUGCUUGGCUCCUCCCCUGGGCAGAGCAUCUCCCCAUGGGAUGGUGGAAUUGGAUCAGCCCUGCAGGGACACUCAGUGGCCAUGGACAGCAGAGAUCUCCUGGAGGGAGGGCUGGCUGUGGGAGAGAUAAAGAAAACACUGCCCAGUGAACAGCAGAGAACUGCCCAGCUCUGACAGAUAGGUUGGAAAUGGGGGGGUGUAUUCUAAUCCUAAGACCUUGGGACAGCAGAAAUAUUUGUGAUGUGCUGGGUGAGUUUCUCCAACCCAGUGACUCCACACUGUACAACACAAGGUGAAAUAAUCCAGGGUAAAUAAAGCCAAUUCCUGCAUUCCAACCUGGGCAUGAUCUAAAAUGCCUUCUUAUCAAAGGGAUUUAUCAAAACCCACCUCAGGCAAGAAGAGGCUACAUUUGGGUUGGUAACAGCUUCUAGAGCAGGUGGCUGUGGGGAGCUGGGCCGGGGAACAGCUCGGGCUCCUCCAGGGGUGUUUUGGUUUUGCAGGGUUGGGGCACUGUGAAAAGUCAAAAAUCUUUCACAAAGGAAUGCUGAAUUACCUUGGUACAGGGCAGGGCUGAUGGGGGUGGCCUCUGGUUGCUGAGGACAGGCUGAGACUGGAGUUUGUCUCUAUUGAUGGGAUUGUUUAUUUUUUUUUUUUGAGGGAUUAGGGUCAGUUUAUCUUUGAUGAGUGCAAAGCUGGAGCAGAGCCAGGCACAAAGGAUAAUUCCUCUCCAGAGCUGAGCUCUGACAAGCUCUCAGCUUGCCAAGGCAAUCCUGCCCCUCAGGAGGGCCCAUUUCCCUCCAGAUACUGCUCAUGAAAUGCUGUGCACUAGACCUGAGGGAGCAAUCCCCUCACUGUGAGGGGUGGGUGGUGCAGACUCACCUUGUGAGCAAGUAGGUGCUGUCUUCACAUGGCCAGACCUGGAUUAGUUGUGUUUGCUUUUGGGGUUUUGUACAGUUCCUUGAUAUUUUCAUACAUAUAUUAAAACCUGUUUCAUAUAUCUUGCAAAUAAAUGACUGUUUAUUUUA